UGGCGCAGUGGUAGCGCAGCUGACUGUUAAUCAGCGUGUCGCAGGUUCGAACCCU
rnacentral:tRNA from 1 species